rnacentral:ncRNA from 1 species
GCUUCUUUUGAAGCAACAGCUGUCGUUAGUACAACAGUAUCUCCGUAUUUUACUACUACUGCUGCGUUAGCUUGGCGAGCCAUUUCACCUAGUUCAACUGUUAAUGUUUUUCCAGCCCAUUGUGUUGUAUAAACUUUUUUAUCUUGAAACAUGUUUAUUUCCUUUCAAUAUUUUCUUAAA